rnacentral:rRNA from 1 species
GAUGAACGCUGGCGGCGUGCCUAACACAUGCAAGUCGAGCGGGAUCUUGCUAAAUGACGCUUCGGUUGAUUUUAGUAAGUGAGAGCGGCGGACGGGUGAGUAACGCGUAGGCAACCUGCCCUUUGCAGAGGGAUAGCCCAUUGGAAACGAUGAUUAAAACCUCAUAAUGCCAGACUGAGACAUCUCUAACUGGCCAAAGAUUUAUCGGGCAAAGGAUGGGCCUGCGUCUGAUUAGCUAGUUGGUGGGGUAACGGCCUACCAAGGCGACGAUCAGUAGCCGACCUGAGAGGGUGAUCGGCACAUUGGAACUGAGACACGGUCCAAACUCCUACGGGAGGCAGCAGUGGGGAAUAUUGCACAAUGGCGAAAGCCUGAUGCAGCAACGCCGCGUG